AACGAACGCUGGCGGCAGGCUUAACACAUGCAAGUCGAACGAGAUCUUCGGAUCUAGUGGCAGACGGGUGAGGAACACGUGGGAACAUCCCUUUCAGUUCGGAAUAACGUUGGGAAACUAACGCUAAUACCGGAUACGUCCUUCGGGAGAAAGAUUUAUCGCUGAAAGAUUGGCCCGCGUCUGAUUAGCUAGUUGGUGAGGUAACGGCUCACCAAGGCUACGAUCAGUAGCUGAUCUGAGAGGAGGCUCAGCCACAUUGGGACUGAGACACGGCCCAAACUCCUACGGGAGGCAGCAGUGGAGAAUAUUGGACAAUGGGCGCAAGCCUGAUCCAGCCAUGCCGCGUGAGUGAUGACGGCCUUCGGGUUGUAAAGCUCUUUUGUCCGGGAAGAUAAUGACGGUAACCGGAGAAGAAGCCCCGGCUAACUUCGUGCCAGCAGCCGCAGUAA
rnacentral:rRNA from 1 species